UAUCUCUGUAGAGUCUGCAUAUCAAUAAGCGGAGGAAAAGAAACUAACUAGGAUUCCCUCAGUAACGGCGAGUGAAGCGGGAAGAGCUCAAAUUUGAAAUCUUCAAGGUUUUACCUUGACGAAUUGUAGUUUAAAGAAGUGUUUUCUGUUGGAGUUUUGGUAAAAGUUCUUUGGAAUAGGACAUCAUAGAGGGUGAGAAUCCCGUAUUUGACCAUUAUUUCCAGCUUUGUGAUACACUUUCAAAGAGUCGGAUUGUUUGGGAAUGCAGUCCAAAAUGGGUGGUAAAUUUCAUCUAAAGCUAAAUAUUGGCGAGAGACCGAUAGCGAACAAGUACCGUGAGGGAAAGAUGAAAAGAACUUUGAAAAGAGAGUUAAACAGUACGUGAAAUUGUCAAAAGGGGAGCGUUUGACACCAGUGUUGUUUUCUCGAAAAUCAAUUAAAAAAGGCAGGAUUUUGUGUUGUAUUGACUUUAUCAGCUUUCUGCACUCCUUUCUUGUCUUUUUUAAUGCACUUUUCGUUUAACAAGUCAACAUCAAUUUCUUUUGUUGUAAAAGGGUCAUUGGAAGGUGGCUUUCUUUUCGGAGAAAGUGUUUAUAGCCUUUGGCCUCUGCAAUCGGAGAGAUUGAGGUCUGCAGCGUAGAUCCUUCGGGGUUAGAUACAUUUGUGCUAAGUUAUAGCCUUUCAUAGACAACUUGUUGACUAUGAUCAGUCAUGUAGCUUACUCGCUUAUGCUAUUUUACCUACGCUUAGGAUGUUGACGAUCAGCUGAGCGCG
rnacentral:rRNA from 1 species